rnacentral:rRNA from 1 species
AUUGAACGCUGGCGGCAUGCCUUACACAUGCAAGUCGAACGGCAGCACGGGUGCUUGCACCUGGUGGCGAGUGGCGAACGGGUGAGUAAUACAUCGGAACAUGUCCUGUAGUGGGGGAUAGCCCGGCGAAAGCCGGAUUAAUACCGCAUACGAUCUACGGAUGAAAGCGGGGGACCUUCGGGCCUCGCGCUAUAGGGUUGGCCGAUGGCUGAUUAGCUAGUUGGUGGGGUAAAGGCCUACCAAGGCGACGUUCAGUAGCUGGUCUGAGAGGACGACCAGCCACACUGGGACUGAGACACGGCCCAGACUCCUACGGGAGGCAGCAGUGGGGAAUUUUGGACAAUGGGCGAAAGCCUGAUCCAGCAAUGCCGCGUGUGUGAAGAAGGCCUUCGGGUUGUAAAGCACUUUUGUCCGGAAAGAAAUCCUUGGCCCUAAUACGGUCGGGGGAUGACGGUACCGGAAGAAUAAGCACCGGCUAACUACGUG